AGCAGCCGCGGUAAUUCCAGCUCCAAUAGCGUAUAUUAAAGUUGUUGCAGUUAAAAAGCUCGUAGUUGAAUUUCGGGGUUAGUAGGCUGGUCAUGCCUCCGGUAUGUACUGGUCUUACUGAUUCCUCCUUUCUGAAGAACUGUAAUGCCAUUAAUUUGGUGUUGCAGGGAAUCAGGACUGUUACUUUGAAAAAUUAGAGUGUUUAAAGCAGGCUAACGCUUGAAUACAUUAGCAUGGAAUAAUGAAAUAGGACGUUCGAUCCUAUUUUGUUGGUUUCUAGGAUUGACGUAAUGAUUAAUAGGGAUAGUUGGGGGCAUUAGUAUUCAAUUGUCAGAGGUGAAAUUCUUGGAUUUAUUGAAGACUAACUACUGCGAAAGCAUUUGCCAAGGAUGUUUUCAUUAAUCAAGAACGAAAGUUAGGGGAUCGAAGACGAUCAGAUACCGUCGUAGU
rnacentral:rRNA from 1 species